rnacentral:rRNA from 1 species
UACGUAGGGGGCAAGCGUUGUCCGGAUUUAUUGGGCGUAAAGAGUGUGUAGGCGGCCGCACAGGUCCGUUGUGAAAACUGGAGGCUCAACCUUCAGACGUCGAUGGAAACCGUGCGGCUAGAGUCCGGAAGAGGAGAGUGGAAUUCCUGGUGUAGCGGUGAAAUGCGCAGAUAUCAGGAAGAGCACCCGUGGCGAAGGCGGCUCUCUGGGACGGUACUGACGCUGAGACGCGAAAGCGUGGGGAGCGAACAGG